CAGCCGCCACGGGAAUACGGAGGGGGCUAGCGUUGUUCGGAAUUACUGGGCGUAAAGCGCACGUAGGCGGCUUGGUAAGUUAGAGGUGAAAGCCUGGAGCUCAACUCCAGAAUUGCCUUUAAGACUGCCGAGCUAGCAGGUGAGAGAGGUAAGUGGAAUUCCGAGUGUAGAGGUGAAAUUCGUAGAUAUUCGGAAGAACACCAGUGGCGAAGGCGGCUUACUGGCUCAUACUGGACGCUGAGGUGCGAAAGCGUGGGGAGCAAACAGGAUUAGAUACCCCUGUAGUCCCUGUCUCUUAUAC
rnacentral:rRNA from 1 species